GACGAACGCUGGCGGCGUGCUUAACACAUGCAAGUCGAACGAGUGGCGAACGGGUGAGUAAUACGUGAGUAACCUGCCCUCUUUUUGGGAUAAGCCUCGGAAACGGGGUCUAAUACCGGAUAAUGGGGGAUGGGCUCGCGGCCUAUCAGCUUGUUGGUGGGGUUAUGUCCUACCAAGGCGGUGCCGGGUAGCCGGCCUGAGAGGGUGACCGGGCACAUUGGGACGGAGAUACUGCUCAGGCACCUACGGGAGGCAGCAGUGGGGGAUAUUGCACAAUGGGCGAAAGUCUGAUGCAGCGACGCCGCGUGGGUGAUGAAGGCUUUCGGGUUUUAACCUCUUUCGCUAGCGAACGGGUAGGUGGAGAAGAAGCGCCGGCUAACUACGUGCCAGCCGCCGCGGUAAUAC
rnacentral:rRNA from 1 species